AGUGAACGCUGGCGGUAGGCCUAACACAUGCAAGUCGAACGGCAGCACAGUAAGAGCUUGCUCUUACGGGUGGCGAGUGGCGGACGGGUGAGGAAUACAUCGGAAUCUACUUUUUCGUGGGGGAUAACGUAGGGAAACUUACGCUAAUACCUCAUACGACCUACGGGUGAAAGCAGGUGAUCUUCGGACCUUGCGCGAUUGAAUGAGCCGAUGUCGGAUUAGCUAGUUGGCGGGGUAAAGGCCCACCAAGGCGACGAUCCGUAGCUGGUCUGAGAGGAUGAUCAGCCACACUGGAACUGAGACACGGUCCAGACUCCUACGGGAGGCAGCAGUGGGGAAUAUUGGACAAAGGGCGCAAGCCUGAUCCAGCCAUACCGCGUGGGUGAAGAAGGACUUCGGGUUGUAAAGCCCUUUUGUUGGGAAAGAAAAGCAGCAGGUUAAUACCCCGCUGUUCUGACGGUACCCAAAGAAUAAGCACCGGCUAACUUCGUG
rnacentral:rRNA from 1 species